AUCCUUUCGUAUUUCAUAAGCAUGAUGAUUGGGUGUUCAUUCACAUGUAUGAGAUGUGCCUCCUCAAUCUUUGUUACAACAUAGGCACAUUACCCCUCUGAUG